UCUUUGCCAAGGAGAAGAUGCGGGUUCGAUUCCCGCUAUCCGCCGCGGAUAUGGUCGAAUGGUAAAAUUUC
rnacentral:tRNA from 1 species